UCCAUUUUAAAACUCAAAAACACUAAACUUUGAAUAGAAAUGAUCAAAUCCUCCAAAACAAUUUAAAACCUACUACGGAUAUACGUUGUCCUCGCAGUUCUCUGUCUAUGUGAAUGGAUGAUCCUUCCUUGCGAGUUGCAUUAAUGGAGCUACGGUCUUAGCAAAGCCUUUGACAAAUCCCCUAAUUGAUACACAUUUCCCAACAAACACUAUCUCACUCUUAAUUGGAUCUACAACAAUUCUCUCACCUGAUAUUAUAAUUCCCAAAAAAAAAUUAUUUUUUUAACAAAAGAUUACACUUCAAUAGGUUAACAUACGACCGCUUUUCAUGCAAAACUUACAAAACUUAACACAAGUUCUU
rnacentral:lncRNA from 1 species